rnacentral:rRNA from 1 species
UACGAAGGGGGCUAGCGUUGUUCGGAAUUACUGGGCGUAAAGCGCACGUAGGCGGAUCGAUCAGUCAGGGGUGAAAUCCCAGGGCUCAACCCUGGAACUGCCUUUGAUACUGUCGAUCUGGAUUAUGGAAGAGGUGAGUGGAAUUCCGAGUGUAGAGGUGAAAUUCGUAGAUAUUCGGAGGAACACCAGUGGCGAAGGCGGCUCACUGGUCCAUUACUGACGCUGAGGUGCGAAAGCGUGGGGAGCAAACAGG